rnacentral:lncRNA from 1 species
GACCCAGCAAUUCCAUCCAAGAUGAGUCAAGACGUACGGCCACGCAAAGGCUUAUACAUGAAUAUUCAUGGCAGCUUUAUUUGAAAUACCCACAAAGUUGAAACAACCUGAAUGUCCGUCAACUGGUGAAUAGAAAGACGAACUGUGAAACACUCACACCGCGGAAUACUACUCAGCAAUAAAAAUGAAUUACCUAUUGAUACAUGUCACAACAUGGAUGAAUCUCAAAAAACAUUAUGAUUCCCGAAAGCGCGAAAGAGUACACAUUGUAUAAUUUCAUGUGUAUGAAGUUCUGCAACAGGCGAAGCUUAUAUACAGUGCCAGAAACAGAUCAGUGGUUACGUUUAGGGUAAGGAGUGGGAGGACUUCCCAGAAAGGGAAGGAAGGAACUUUCCGGGACGAUGGAAAUGUUCUAUAUAUUGUUUAUAGUGGUGAUUGCACUAAUGCUUACAAAUGUCAAAAUUCAUCAAAUUAAAAUUUAUGCAUUUCAUGGUAUGUGAAUUACAUCUUAUUUUUAAAAAAACCCUGAGUUGUGAACUGCUACCACCAGGUGGCAGUGGUGCCUAAUGCCCAAGAGACUGUAAAGUUGGCACUGUGACCAAGAUUUGUGAAUCGUUAUAUUUGAGUGUUCCUGAAAACAUGAGGCAUUGUCUUGUGGGCAUGUAUUUUUAAUUUCAAUCAAUACUAUUGUGCAAGAGGGCUCUGUUCCUGACGUUUUUAUCCCCUCUUCAGCACCGUGUGUUAAAGAUCUGUUUACGUUGCUAUGUAUACACCAUUGGUUGCUAGUUUACUGCUCCUUAUUAUGAAAGACUUUCCAAUGAUGGACACCUCAUUGUAUCCAGCUCCCCAACCAUCACAAACAACUUUGUGAUAAAACACCCUCUUACGUGUCUCCCCGUGGACCUGUAUGAGAAGUUCUCUAAUUAUAUAGCCUGCAAUGGGAUCCUUCCCACAUCUGCUCUUAUUUAUUUAUUUGUAUUUUUUAUCCCCUUCUACUUAAUAAAUAUCCCCCAGAUUAUUUAUGAAAAAACAGCUGAAUCUGAGCAUCCUAAACUUUUAUUUAAUUUUAUUUUUUAUAUAUGUAUAUGUUUUUCUGGUGAGGAAGAUUGUCCCUGACCUAACAUCUGUGCCCAUCUUCCUCUAUUUUGUGUGUGGGAUGCUGGCAUAGCAUGGCUUGAUGAACAGUGUGUGGGUCCACACCCAGGACCCGAACUUGCAAACCUCAGACCACUGAAGCGAAGCGUGUGUAACCACUAUGCCACCGGGCUGGCUCCUAAACUUUUAAAUUAAAGGAAAUACUUGUUGUGAGUCCGUUUAUUUUUUUUUGUCUCCUUGCAAAACGUGUAAUGUUGUUUAUGAUGUCGUUUAAACAUACAAAAUAGUAUUGCUGACUGAGAUUUGGACCUCCAAAUGCAUAAUCACGGAUUUUCACCUACUGAAUAAAUUUUCCCCAAAUGUUCAUGGUAAAACGGCUGAAUUUAAGCAACAUCCUAAAUGUUAACUUCAAGGUGAUGUGUUAGAACAAUGUUUAAGGCAAGAUUCCUCAACAGUGGCACCACUGACACUUGAGACCUGAUAAUUCUUUGCUGUGGGGGCUGUCCUGUGCAUUACAGGACGUUGAGCAGCAUCCCUGGCCACCCCCCACUAGACACCAGUAGCACCCUCCUCCUUGUUGUGACAACCAAAAAUGUCUCCAGAUGCUGAGGAACAUGGAAUGGGAGGGGCAAAAUCGCCUUGAGUUAGGAGCCACUGUUUAAGGUAAAUGAACUCUGGGAUUCACUUGGGGCCUUUUUCUAGACUCUUCCUUUCUUUUUGUCAGUUUAUUUCAACUCUAAUCCCAGCUACGCACUUGCAGUAUGUGGUCCCUUUUAAAACUCCGAUCCUCCCCUGCCUUCUGGCUGGAGCACAGCUCUUCCUGGGGAUACUUACGGGCAUCCUUAGUCUUUUAGCGGACUGAGCACCAAGCAGUGCUCCUGGUUCCCUUCUCUCUUGGUUUCCUGGCUUCUCCCUCUCAGCCACUGCAGUGGGUCAGAGGAGGAAGAAGGAGUCGGAAUUUCUCCUUGUGUCCUCCUCCCCGAGGAAUCCAGAAGAGCAGAGAGAGCCCCACAGUCUGAUGACUCAGGUGGCAAGGGGAACAGAAAAGGAAGCCUCUAUUUCUUUUUGGUUCUCACAUCUUCUUCCCUUACCGGCUAGCUAGAUCUCCUUCGUAACUUAAUUUUUACCCACAAUCCUUGGAUGAAUACCCAGAGUCAUGACUGUCCCUGUAUUCCUCAGCACACAAGCAAUAAGAUGCUUCUCAGGAAAGUUCUCUGUGGUCAUAUUAGUGAGGGCAACGCUGCCUACUGGAUCCCUCUCCUAGACACUAGCAAUGACCACGAGUCUAUUAUAGCCUCCAGAAGCUCUUCAGAUGUCUAUUUUUAAUCCAGCAUUUUCCAGAUUAAGUGACUACAGAACCUUCUUACCUCCCCUCCAUCUUUUAACAAAUAUCUAUUAACACCCCCAGAACUGGUGUCCCAGGGAAUACAGUUUGGGGAAUGUUACCUAUUAACAACCUACAUCUUUUGUAAAUUGCCUUCAAAAGCCAUUAAUGCGUUUGUUCCUUUAUUCAAAAAAGCUGCUGAGCAUCCCCCAUGCCAGGUAUUAGGGCUCCAAAGAUGAUUUGUCCAGCAGCCCCGGGGCGGCAGAGGUGCAGGCGAGUCCAGCUGUCAGCAGCUGUAUCAAGGUUUGAGCGAGGUGUUGGGGAAACGAAGGGAGCAGUGAUUAAUUCUGACACUGGAGUUCUGAUCCUCUUCACAGAUUCGGCAGUAUCCCACUAAGCCUAGAAUACAGGACUGGGCCCCUUCCAUCCCGUGGGAUCAGGGGCUUCUUAGAAAGGCCCGGUCUCAGGCUCCACCUUAGAAUGACCGAGUCGGAACCUGUGCUUUAACAAGGGCCCCAGAUGAUCUUUACGUCCCUCACUGUGUGAGAAGCGCUGCCUGGAAAUGAGCACGCCUUCUGACGAGAAUGUAAACAGAACCAAAAUGCACUUCUGUGUGGUGUCUCGGCCAAAGGUGGAAAGAACAGGAAGGGAAGACCGGUCAGGGCAAGAAGUGUCGUCUGUUCUCUCCUAGCCCUCACUUCACAGUGGCUGAUUCAAGAGGGAAGCCUGCAGGGAUGUCAUCAGGGAGCCAGGACGGGCUCUCAGCUAAGAACUCAGAAGGUAGAGAGAAAAUCAUUUUUCGUCUCCUACAACAGCAAAACGAAACAAAAUAUCGAAAUACCAACACUGCCUUUCAGCACAUUUCCCUGCCCUGACCCCAGGAGGAGGCCUUACGGGUGAUGCAUCAGGGGUGCGGGUACGUGCCCUCCAGACGGCCAGAACCCAAUGCCUGAUUCACCAGGAUGAAGAAUUCUUGCUAUUUCACUUAAAUAUUCCAAAGUGUCCCGUUACCGGAGCUGAGCUGGAAGGUGGAGCAACAAGGACUCUGCAGAGGUCAGCCUCCCGGUGCGUGGAGCAGGGUGGAGAAUGGAGGAAGGCGGAUCUGCAGUGGCAAAUGGAGGAUAACCAGCCCACGAUUUGUGCUGAAGAGGAAAAGACAAAAGAAACAAGCACAUUAGUAAUUUUCAAAAUGCUGUACUCGUCCCAUUACAUAUCUAUUACUAUUAUUAAUAUUUUUAUUGAAGUAUAAUUGACAUACAUACAUAUCUCUAUUGGACUUUUAUAUUGGACUCAUUCUCACCUUUAUAAAUAGCAAAAGAGGACGUCUUUCAAACUCUAAAUGUUCUGAUGAAACUAAUGUAUAUUAAGAGAUUCUAAUGAGAGGCAGCACAGCCUCUCCCAGAGAUUGUAUUAAAGUCUCUUUUGGUUGUAAGUUACAGAAACACACUAGAGCUAGCUUAAACAGAAAAAGAAAAAUAAAAGAGGAGGAAAGUAGAAUUAUUAGGAGGCUGGGGCGUCUCCCAGGUGCAGUGGACUUCAGGAACAGACUGGCAGCCUCCAUCACUUGUUCCUUCUCCCUGUGCCCCUAUUUUGUUCUCCUCUCUGCUCUGUAGACCAGCUUCUUCUAUAUUUCCAGUCCACACAGCAGAAAAGAUGGCCGCCUGGUACUCCCAAGUUCACCGCAGUGUAGUCACCAGAGAGGGACUGAACCUUAUGUCUUAGUCCCUGUACCAGUCAGGGCCCAAUCAGGAGAUAGGAACCACACAGCAAUUUGAAUUGUGAAAGUUUAAUGUAAAGAAUUAUUAACUAUGUGAAAUAAAAUGAAAUCAAAAAUACUCCUGAGAACAAGAUGGACUCUGUGUGGCUAACGGGGACCUCAAAACAAAUGGAGCCAAGCAGCCAUGACGAGAGCAGGAUGCAGCCACGUACUCUGUUCUUGGGAAAACCACCGAAUGCGCUCUUAAGCUUUCACUCUGCCAAAGCCCCUAACGGCCACCUGGACCUAACCAACAAAACUGUGACCUGCACCAACUGAUCAGGACUCAGUGGGCUUGUAUCUCUUAUUUGCAUAAGCAGAUCUGAGUGGGAACCUGCACGGAAACUUUUUCUGUAAAGGCAUCCCCCUUUUCUUUGUUCUCCCCUGAGCCUACUUUCAGUUUGCUGCCGAAGGCCACAUCUCCCCGGUUUGCAAACUGUAUGAGGAAAAAAUUUUCCUAACUUAAUUCUUAUACUGGAUAUUUUUGUUAACAACUAUAACAGGGAUUGGAGUAACAAGGGAUCAGCCAGUAGGAAGUAAACAGAACUCUAGAAAGCACAACAAUAGCGGCUCCAAGGCUCAGGGCUGAGCUAGACCAUCCAAGAUAGAGCCCCGGGCCGCCACCCCAUGGCUGAGCUCCAGACCUUGUUGGAGAGGGCACGGCUGUGGUUCACUGGAUGGAAGAGAAGUCCCUAUGUUGCUGCACUGUCAGAACUCGCUAGAAAUCCACCCUCUAGGGUGCUUAAGAUGUGUUCACUGGAGUCACCCCUCUAUAAAACCACCUGUAGUGGGAGUGCCAGGGGAGGCUGCUGGCCUUCGGAUGAUUCUGGCCACCAUGCACUGGGGGAGAUGGAUGCUAAAGAAGCCAUCUAUCCUGGCUUGCAUCAGCAGGACCCUGAUGUUGAAGAAGUCGCUUGCAUUGCAGGAGCUGGAUACUGGAGGAGUUGUCCAAGCUGUAGAAGCCAGGUGCCACACGCUACAGGGGCCUGCUGAGCAGAGCACACCAGAAUCAGAAAGGAAAAUCCCUCCUACAACGACUCUCCAGUGCUCUCUAUUAACAAAGCAUAACUUUUGUCAGCCGGCACGGGAAACAUUUUAGAUGGCCCACUACAUUUUAUGGAGCAGAUAAUGAAGGUUGAAUUUGGAGCUGAGAGGCAAUCGAUUGACAACUAGCACCAUCCCAAGUCCAUGUGCCCAGAGAAGGAACGAUGAUUGGUCCAGCUCGUGCCACCCCUGGAUUGGUCAGUCACCUGUGCUCAGAAUGGAACUGCAUUAAUAAGAAAGUGGUGAGCAUGGAAAAGCAAGUGCAAGAGAGCAAACUGGUCACCAGGUAGCCUCCGCUCUCCAAGGGAGAGACACAAGCAUUUCAGUCGCUAGAGACGUUGUCUCUCCUCUAGAUCAGAGACACUUCAGCACUGAGCAGCCUGCUGAUUUUCCUUCCCUUCUACCCCAAUACCAGCUGGAGGACAGAUCUUGGGCAGUGGAUGCUCAUAGUCUGCUGUCUGGAAAGGGAUGUCAUGCAGUGUGAGCUACUACGUUGGCUGUGAUGGCUACCCUAGCCUUGAGAGGAAAUCCAUCACCAUGAGUCUGCUCUUAUCUGUGCACUAAGAAAAGCCAGUUUCUGAUACUGAGAAGCUAAGCAUCAGGUUGGCCUCAAGGGACUCAAUCAGGUGCUCUCCUGAAGGACCUGCACCCUAGACAACAUCGCUGCUGGCACAUUCCCCAAGGAAGAACCCUGCAGAACACGGAAUUGGGCAUGGAUGAAUAGUAUUCUACAAAUGUCUAACUAACAAUCAUUCUCUCAUUGCCGGACUUCCGGGCUGUGUCCAGUCUUUCGCUAUUACAUGUAAUACACGGAUGAACGUCUGUGUGAUCAGGGUUCUUUUUGCUGUUUUGUUUGUCUUUGUAUUUUAAGUGAUUCCCUGAGGAUAGAUCAUAAGAACUGGGAAUAAACUGAUGUCCUCUUUUUAGGGGGGAGAAAAACGUGAACAUUUUAAAGACGCUUGAGGCCCACUGCCCCAUGAUUUCAGAAAUGCGCCAAUUUCAGUCCACUAGAGGCAUCCUGACUUACACAGAGUAUUAUAGUUUAAUAUAUAUAUAGUUUAUACGUGUGUGCAUACAUUUGAAAUCUCGCUUUUUUACGUUUCUCUAGUUACUAUUAGGGUUAGAUAUCCAUGCC